rnacentral:tmRNA from 1 species
GGGGAUGACAUGGCUUCGACGAGGAGUUGGAUCUCAAGGAUGCAUGUCGAGGAUAAAGAUAGCUCGUUAAAACGUUCUUUAAAAUAAUAGUUGCAAACGAAAACAACUACGCUCUAGCAGCUUAAUGCUAGCCACUCCUUAGGGAUUGUCUGUGUUUCUAAGAUAGUGGUCGAUUAGCAGACUCGCCCUUUUGUAUUUUCAGGGCGGAAGGGUUAAAUUGAACUGAAAUCGUCUCUCGUAUCCCUGUCGGUCGGGUGACAAGAGAUUAAAUCAAUAGACCAAACUAAGCAUGUAGACUCUUUGACUGAAAGUUUUCGGACGCGGGUUCGAUUCCCGCCAUCUCCACCA